GGCGAGGUGGCCAAGUGGUUAAGGCGACGGACUGCUAAUCCAUUUGCUGGUAUGGGUUCGAGUCCCACCCUCGUCA
rnacentral:tRNA from 1 species